rnacentral:lncRNA from 1 species
AUGUCCAGGACUACAGCAGUGGAUGGGAUUUCCCCAGGCACUGACCCGGACCAGCACCAGGCACUGAUGAGGCUGAGGAAGGCGGCCGGUUACCCAGGAGACGUGUACAGUCACCCAGGAGAGCCGGGUGCGGGGGUCACUGGUACAGCAGGACCUUGGGCUAGCGGUCCGAGGACAGCAACAAGCUGAGGCCCCACUGCCCUGGCUAUGGUUUCUGCACAAGAGACUGCGAUCUCAUCGGUCUGCUGAGCUCAGCCACAGGUUUCUCUCCCUUUACUAAGGAGAUGGUUUAUUGUCUCCAGAAUAACUAGCUCCUGCUGUGGUCCACACCUGGGCUAUAAAAGAAUUUCCAGAAUGAGAGUGUGGGGGGUUGUGUAUAUGCUCAGUUGUGUCCGACUCACUGCGACCCCAUGCACUGUAGCCCAUCAGGCAUUCUGCAGGCAAGAACACUGGAAUGGAUUGCCAUUCCCUUCUCCAGGAAAUCUUCCUGACCCAGGGAUCGAACCUGUGUCUACUAUCAGCAGGCAGAUUCUUUACCACUGAGCCACCUGGAAGACCAGGUGGGAGGCGCUGUUAGAAUAGCCGGCCGGCUUAAAGGAGAGCCGAACCCUUCCACAGGCUAGCAGCCAAUUUUUAUAGCCUCAAGACGGAGUAAAUUCC